UUGUACCUGAAAUACAUAAACGAGCGUGAUGUAAUAUUUUUAUCAUUGAAACAUAUCACGAACGGCGACUUCACCUAGUUUCCAAGCAAACAAAUCUUACACAAGAUGCAUUUUCAAUUUCGCGAUACGAUUUACAUCUCAAAGGCGCUCGUAAUAAAUAUAAUCGAAGUUCAUAAGUAGCGAGUUGACAAACGAUUUACAUCUCAAAGCUACUUCCGAUGAAGUUACAAACCUACAUAGAGCACUUCGUUUCCCUUGUUAUUGUGUAAUGAUAUUAUCCGAUGUUUACAUAUAGUUUAUUUCUUCUAAAUUUACUGUUUACCAGUUUAUAGUUCGUAACAUCAUGAGGAAACAGGGAAUAUUUAGAAAUCACGUAUUUGAGGAAAAUUGUUGCAUGCAUGGGCAGUCUAAUCAUAAACCACUACUUCUCUGCGGUAUCAAGAAACUUAAGCAGCUUUUAUGUCUUAAGAAUUCAAGUAGUUUUUGAAACGUGAAAAAUCAUAAGCAAAAGUAAAACUGAGAAAACUACUAAUCACUGUAGUAAAAGAUGGAAAACAGGUCACGGUGGUAAUUCGAAAGCAGCCAUAAACUAUUUUAGGGAUAAGUAUAUGCGGCUAAUAACCAACCGUAAAAUUUCUUCCACACUUUGUACAUCUCUGACUUACUAACCCGUGCAACUCAAUUUCUUUUUCGACUCGUUGAUCUGGAUUUAUGGUAUACUAUGUGCACGCAGACUCGUGUUUAAUUCAUUCUUCAAUUCUACCAGGCCAGGAAACAACCAUUCAACGCACGUGAAAGUAUGUUUCUCUUCUUUCGUAGCAAUUCUACGCAAUUUUUACCGGGAGUAAAAGCGAAGUUAAACGUGACAGCGAAACAUUAAACUUCUUCAUUGCAACGUACAAAGAAAGAAUCGCUAGUGGAUCAGUGGAGCAUAUACGAAGCCGUAAAAAUUACUGGCAUCAAGCAGUCAGUACUCGUGGAAAAUAUAACCUGGCCUGUUAACGGCACGACAAAGAAGAUCGCGGUUAUUAUUUUCCUGUGGAAAGGUUUCCUUACGGGUAUCGUAGCCUGAUUCAAGAAUGCCUACGUUUAUCACCCAGAGGAAUUAUUUACGACCUUACGAACCAAAGUAGAUCAGAUGUAAAAUUUUACACCGAUUUCUAUUUACUUCAGUGGGUAAUGUACAAUCCUUUUGAGGAAAAAUAAAGGCCACGUUCUUUGCGAACGCCCAAUUGCUGCGAACGUAAGGAAAAUUUUACAGGUUCGACAUUCCUUUUUAAUUACUUCUUCGCUAAUAAGAUACGUGCGAAGCAUUCUUCAAUAUCAACACGUCAUAAGUAUGUGUUAUACCGUCGGUGGAAGAGAUAUGUAUAAUGCUUAUGAUGAAAUCAUCAAAGUUUGCUUGUAUGAUUCAACAACCGAAAUAGCCAUCGGUGACAUAUAAAGGAAUAUACUGGAUGCAGGAUAUUUUUUAGAAUUAUAUCAUUAAAUUCAGGAUUCUUACUUUCUUUGCAAUAUACUUGAAAAAAUUGUUUACAGUAUACAGCUUGGUAAAUUGGGAUUCUAGAAAUACACGAUUUUCUACUUUUCAUGUGAUGCAUAUAUAUUACAAAGAAAUCUCAUAUGCCAAUCAUAUAAAUGACUUCUGCAGAUCGAGAUUCCAGCGACUAACUACGUACGUAUACGUGCGACUAGAUCAACGUGUGUCACCAUGUAACGUAUUAAUUUACAAUCUCGUCGUAUCUCUUCGACCAACAGUAAGUACGUCAAGACCAAGUAUUUUUCUUCUUUCUUUACGAGUUAGUGCAGUUUAAAAUUUCCUAUCGUUUAAUUAGAAGCUCAAUAAUAAUGGUGCUGGAAAGUAGCAUUACUCAUAAAGAUAAUCAUCGUUGACAAAUCAAAGAUACAACGAGCAAAAAUCAUUCUACGAUUAAAGUAUCGCGACUUUCUGUUGCGUGUUGAGGCAAAUGAAAUUCAGAAUGUCACGCAACAGAGUAAAAUUUCGCUGUCGCGCACAGAUUGAUCGAAGAAAAAGGUGAAAUUCUCCUUGUCCCUUUUAAAUUAUGAAUAUGCAUUCGUGAAGUGUUUCAAGUUUCCUGCGAUUAAAUAAAUAGAAUUAUGUAUUUACGAUUUAACGAGAUUGCUCUUGAGAUAUAUUUUUCUUCGCUAUAAGAAUUCUUUUUAGCAAGUGGUCGCAAACAAUCACGUGAUCGGUGACAGAGAGGGCUUUUACGAUUCACACGAAUAUAAUUAAUAAGACAGGUCGUUAAAUUUUUAAUUAGAAGCUGGACGGCCGUUAAUGGAAGGAAUUAUACGUUUCUCACUAUCAAUCUUCUCCUCGUACUCGUAUGUAAAGAAGUUCCGUACGUUUUACAACGUUUGCUGUUGCUUGCAGUCACGGCCAGCGUAUAAUCGAUCAAAGGCGGGUAUUAAGUUCGCUUUUUAUUUUUUUAUGUGUUGCGAUAACGAUUCGUGCGACAGGUUGUUACAUAUCAAAAUCGGGCGAUAAAUGUAGACGACUGUUUAUUCGCGGGAAAACGUAUCACGAAAAUGACAUCUUAUCGUUUUGGAAAAUUUCUGUUCGAUUUAAGAUUGUCGAAAAGCGAACAUCCUUUUCUACCAACUAAAAUUUCUUCCUGAUGUUACGCCAUCAUUUUUCAUCGAAGGAGGUUCAUCUAAAAAAUUAGAAGAAAGAGAUAAGACAAAGAAUAUGUCACAAUUUUUUAAUCAAAGGAAAUAGUUUCACCGAGUGCAGAAGUUUAAAUAUCCAACGCAGAAAGUUGACGAUUAUCCACAAUAUCUAUAACUUAUACGUACAAGGAUUUUAUUGAAAUUGGAAUGUAACAAUAGUCGUUAAAUCCACAUAACCAGAAACAAAUUGUGCAAUAGUAAUUGAGAAUUCAGUAUGUACACGAUUCGGUUUGCAGGAAAGGGAAGGCGCUGAGAAGAUCGAGGUAAUUAUCAAUUUCCUGUCUAUCUUUCGGAAAUUAACUCGUUCAACCAGGGUUCGAUCACUGGAACGACUUUCGAUCGGCAUGAUGUGAAACUCUGCCAUUGAAGAUGAUUCCAUAGUAUGUAAAUGCAUACCAUUACGAAAAGGGAUUUCGUUCUACAAAAGUAAAAGUGAACACAACGAAAUUGUUAAGAAACGCGAUCACCCGAUAAAGUGAAGGAAGUCUCUCUAUGGAAAUGCGUCGUUUAAAUAGCUGAUUAUUAGUCAACGUCGGCUUUUCUGGAAUCGAAGAUAUCACGGGAAGCAUUUGCAUCCGCAGAAAAAUAUGAAACCAAUGCAAUCUUUGAAAAGAACUGCUACAUUUUUCCAGCGAGCUCAUGUUUGGAUAUACAAGUGACCAGUUCAACUUGCAUACGCCUUUUUUAUUUUAAUCCAGAACAUGAUCGAUGAAUUAUCGGUUCCUUGAAAAUUUCGAUAUGAACCGUAAUUUAAAUUAUUUUCUUUACAGAUACGGUCGUUGGAUUAUUCCACUCUUUGUCUGUGUAUUUCCACAGACAUUUGUAUUAAUAAAACGACGCUUUGAGUA